AUGGCUGUCGUCAGCUCGUGUCGUGAGAUGUUGGGUUAAGUCCCGCAACGAGCGCAACCCUUGUCAUUAGUUGCUACGAAAGGGCACUCUAAUGAGACUGCCGGUGACAAACCGGAGGAAGGUGGGGAUGACGUCAAGUCCUCAUGGCCCUUAUGGGUAGGGCUUCACACGUCAUACAAUGGUCGGGACAGAGGGUUGCCAACCCGCGAGGGGGAGCCAAUCCCAGAAACCCGAUCGUAGUCCGGAUCGCAGUCUGCAACUCGACUGCGUGAAGUCGGAAUCGCUAGUAAUCGCGGAUCAGCAUGUCGCGGUGAAUACGUUCCCGGGUCUUGUACACACCGCCCU
rnacentral:rRNA from 1 species